rnacentral:rRNA from 1 species
UACGGAGGAUCCGAGCGUUAUCCGGAUUUAUUGGGUUUAAAGGGUGCGCAGGCGGGAGAUUAAGUCGGAGGUGAAAUUUUGCAGCUCAACUGUAAAAGUGCCUUCGAAACUGGUUUCCUUGAGUGUGGAUGAAGUAGGCGGAAUUUGUGGUGUAGCGGUGAAAUGCAUAGAUAUCACGAGGAACUCCGAUUGCGCAGGCAGCUUACUAAGCCAUAACUGACGCUCAGGCACGAAGGCGUGGGGAUCAAACAGGAUUAGAUACCCGCGUA